rnacentral:rRNA from 1 species
AUGGGCGAAAGCCUGACGGAGCAACGCCGCGUGAGUGAUGAAGGUCUUCGGAUCGUAAAACUCUGUUAUUAGGGAAGAACAUAUGUGUAAGUAACUGUGCACAUCUUGACGGUACCUAAUCAGAAAGCCACGGCUAACUACGUGCCAGCAGCCGCGGUAAUACGUAGGUGGCAAGCGUUAUCCGGAAUUAUUGGGCGUAAAGCGCGCGUAGGCGGUUUUUUAAGUCUGAUGUGAAAGCCCACGGCUCAACCGUGGAGGGUCAUUGGAAACUGGAAAACUUGAGUGCAGAAGAGGAAAGUGGAAUUCCAUGUGUAGCGGUGAAAUGCGCAGAGAUAUGGAGGAACACCAGUGGCGAAGGCGACUUUCUGGUCUGUAACUGACGCUGAUGUGCGAAAGCGUGGGGAUCAAACAGGAUUAGAUACCCUGGUAGUCCACGCCGUAAACGAUGAGUGCUAAGUGUUAGGGGGUUUCCGCCCCUUAGUGCUGCAGCUAACGCA